rnacentral:lncRNA from 1 species
GGAGACCGGCACAACAGCAACAUCAUGGUGAAAGAUGACGGACAGCUGUUUCAUAUAGAUUUUGGGCACUUUUUGGAUCACAAGAAGAAAAAAUUUGGCUAUAAACGGGAACGUGUGCCGUUUGUUUUGACGCAGGAUUUCUUAAUAGUGAUUAGUAAAGGAGCACAAGAGUACACAAAGACCAGAGAGUUUGAGAGGUGAGCUCAAAGGCUGCGCCCACGGCACUGCAGGGAACUGCCUGAACACUGGGGCAGGGGUGCUGGCUGGAGAGGAGGCAUGAGCAGUCUUUGGUUUUUCUCUUUUGUCUGAUGUGGACGGGGUGGGUGGAGAUGACAUCAUUCAUUGAGCUAAGUGAGGCCUACAAAGGAAGUAACCCUUAAACCUUAUAACACACUCUAAUUAUUGGCUGUCCUUAGAUAAUUAGACCCUACUUUAUUUUGUCAAGUAAUGUGUAGUGCUUACGACAUGAUUUUUUGGUUCCAACCUGAAUAAAGCCAGCAAACAAU